rnacentral:lncRNA from 1 species
GUUAGGUGGUAAAAGCAGUGUUUGCCAUAAAAAUCAGGUCGUUGGUUAUUUUGGUGGGGAGGGAGAGGUAGUGUUUGGAAGGGGACACAAGGGAAGGUUUUGGGACGCAUGGUAUACCGGUUGUCAAUGUAUGGCCUCGCACCUCCAAAUCCAUCCUUUAAUACCUGCUCUGUGGGCACAGCCAGAAUCCCCUUCCGCGGCUCCCCUCGCGGCAGGGAGGAUGCUGAACAGUAGAGGGCGCUGGAGACACGCUGCGGGAGGCUGUCGCUCGGGUCCGGCUGCGGGCCACAGGCCGCGGAUCGCGCUCUGCCAGCGCCCCACGCCCGCAAGCGCGGCCCCUCCGCCACCUCGCGGCCCGGCCUGACCUGUUAAUCACGUCCCCACGGCUCUCCUAGCGGGGACACCGCCGUCUGCAGGCUCCGUCCCCACAGUGCCCAGACCCCGGGAAGUUUGUCAGUCAGCACCCUGAUGCCAGCCGAUUCUCAAAAAGCCAGGAGGAUCCAAGCAGAUGAUUUGCCAGACGGUACUGCAGCAAUGGAGAUGAACAGAUAAUUCACACAGAAAGAAGGACGAGGGAUUGGAUCAAGCUGGGGCGAGAUAGAGUGGGGAAGUGAUGAGCUAAGAAAAAUUAGCCUGCAAGCAUGACGUGUCGCACGUCAGCAAGGCUGCAGCCUUGGAUUCUGAUGUCUUGAGAAGAGCGAUUCACCUGUGAAUUCUCACAGCCCUGGCCUCAGAAAGACGGCCCGGGACCAGGCCCGAUGGCACCCCUCUUCCCAGCUCUCAGCCAGGGCGGAAGGCACAAGUGAUGGCCCUGGCCUCCGCAGUCACACUCCUCCUGAAAGCUGACUGGCUGAACCUCACCUCUUGGCUAGCUUGCCACCCAGCUCUUGAGAACAUGUUUGUCCAAGGCCUCUUGGCAGGUCUCGAUGACUCCUUCCCCUAAGGGCCCCCAGUCACCUGCUAAGGCUCCCAGGCCCCUGUGAAACUGGCUCGGUGCCCCAAUAGACUCUCCACCUCCAGACCCUAAGCCGGCCAGCCCAGAGUGCAGCAAGGCACCACACCUACCCUGUGAGGGCACUCGGGCCCCGCGCUGGCCUCUGACAGCACAGGAAGCUUCUGCAUUCACGCUGAGGCCUGUCUUUUGCCUUCCUUAGAUAAACUUGCCAGAAACCCCAUAGUGCUUCAGGCCUUUGGGAUAAUUCCCCUGAGCCCCAUAGGCCAGGGCCUGGCAUUCAGUAGUUGCUCUAAAAUUGUGUUUUCACCCACUCUCUUCCAGGUAGUCAGGACAGGGAAGCCCAGGCUUCUGGUCACCACUCACCAAAUCUCUCCCCUGCCCCUCUAUCAGGGAUCAGCUCCUAUAGGCCUUAACCUAGCAGACUAGGUAAAGCAGAGCUGGUGGCAUCAAGGGUCCCGGGGGCUGCAGAGCCCUGGCUGGUACAGGAGGCUGGGCUCUCCUGUAGGUCUGCACCUUCCCAGCAACGCGGAGGGCACCAGACCCUGCCUGCUCCAGAGGCUGUACCUGAAAGAUGAAGUGCUCGUCAAACUGCGGGUUGGAGGUUUUGCGUUUGGUCUUGGAUUGGAGGAAGCGCCGCUCAUCGGGCAGCAGGUAGAGCUUCACCAGGGGCCGCUCAGCCUCCUGCUCAUAUUCCACCGAGAACCACAGCCGCCCCAGGCAGCCGUCGGGGAAGUCGGUCUCACUUUUGUCCUCCGGGAACUUGUACAGCUCUGGGUUGAUGGCCCCCACCAUACAUGCAUCUCCUAUGACAGAGGGUGGGAGGGCUGGCAGGCCAGAGGAAGGCAGGGGCAUGGGAGACAGUGGCAAGCUCUGGGCACCCAUCCCCAUCCUGGCCCAUCCGUCUCUGCUGAGCCUCAGCUAGCCUGACCACAUCUGCCCCACUCUCCUCACCAGGCUAAACACAUCCCCUCUCUCUGGUGCAGCUCCUCCAAGAAGCCUUCUCACCAUGAAGGCAUUGCAUGGCCAGGCUGGGGAUCCAGCAGAGUCCUGCCCCCUGGGAUUGGCCCCCAUCCUUGGAGGUCAGGACCUGUUUCAAGGACACAGUGCCCAUCACCUGGCCUAGCCCCCUUCCAUGGCGUCUAGGGAAUGACUCAGCGAUAAAACAUUGCCUUUCUUCUUCCUCUUCAAAUUAGAAGGGCCAAGGUGAUUAUUGGGUGGUUCCUGUGAUGGUCUCUUGGUAGAUCUUCAGGGCAAAGAGGUGGCAGAAAGCUGUGUUUGCAGCCCCUACCAUUCUGUCCUCUUGGUCAACCAACCCAUCAUCCUAGAGUGGGACCCAGCACAAGUUCUGUACAUGGCGUGCCUGGGUUCCAAUUCCAAUCUGUUGCUUACAGCCUCAGUUAAGACUAUGUAAAAUGGGGUGAUAAUUCCUCCCCCUCAGAGUCAUGGUGAGGUCUCACUCCAAAUCAGCACCCAAGGCCAUAUCUUACCCUCAUGGGGUGCAGCAAGCACUUCAUAAAUGAAAGCACCCAGAAAGAGUGGUCCCUGGGUGGUCCCUGGCAUCCCUGGCUGGUUCAGGUUGUGUUCCGGAGCCAAGCUGGUGAAAGCAGAUGGGGCCACCCGAGCAGACCCUGACCUCUGGGCAGCCCUGGCAAGGACACUCACCAAGGCCGCCGCUGGAGGUGUGAGGCAGCAGCUCUGAUGCCGGGCAGGGGUCCCAUGGGGCAUCGGCCCACUCUCCACUGUGCAGGGGCACCCAAUCUCGGCCUUGAAGGGUUGGGGGCACCACGAAUGGCACAGCUGGUGGCCUGUCCAGAGUCAGGGAGACAACAUGUAGGUGGCAAGUCAAUGGUGUGGUCUCAGAGCGCUCAGCCAGGACGGUUGAGCACCAGGGGCUGGAGGAAGAAAAGCCAUCGGGAGCCAGGAGGAGGCCAGGGCACCAUUUUCUGGGCCCAUACCAGGCAACACACACACACACACACGCACACACACACACACACACACACACACACACACACACAGCAGUGGGAUUUGAAGAAGGAACACAGCACCUGACAGUGUCAGCCAGUCUGGGUUUGGAUUCCUGUUCUGCCACUUACUAAUUGUGUUCUCUGGACCUGUUGCUUAUGUGCACUGAGCCUCAGAUUCCUCACCUGGAACAUGGGUUUCAUAACACCUGCCUAAUAGCUGAUGUGAGGUUUCUGGGGUUUCUUUGUGAUAGCUCCCAGCACCGAAGCAGCAUAGAAGAGGCACCCCCAUAAACAGAACUUUCCUUUUCGACCCCACCCUGAGGGAAAUUCCAGGGGCGCACUUGGCCCCACAUCCUGCCUCACCUGCUCAGUUGGGUCCUAGCAUGCGGCUGGCAGGGCCUGUCCCGCUGCCCACUGGAGGCAGCUGUGGUGGCCAUGGCUGGUGUCCCAGGCAGCUCCUCAUAGGUGAGGGUGGCACAGAACCUUCUCCACAGACAGCAGCUUGCCCCGAUCAACAGCAGCAGCAGCAGCCCCCCGAUGGUGCCCCCAAUCACCAGGGCCAGCUGCUCUGGGGGCAGAGACCACCAGUACUAUGAUGCCUGCCUGGGAAAGCCACUCUCCCUCACAGCCCUGGCCUGCUGGGGCAGAACUAGGGCAGCAACCCUGCCUCUGGGUUUGAUCUCAGGAGUGAUAGGAGCAGGCCUGCUGGGGAUGGGUUCCGGGAGGGAUGCUGCUGGCUAGGUUCCGCCAGCUCUCAGAGGAGAAGCCGUUUACCCCAGGGUCUGAGAGCCCUGGGCAGAACCUUCUAGUUUUCCUUGGAAAACAGCUGGCCCUGCCCUUGGGAUUCUGGCUUAAAGAAGCCAUUUCCUUGCGCUUCUGAGUAGAAAUCAAACCUGCCCUCACCAGAACCUCCAUAUCCCCUGGGCUCCUGUUGAGGCCAGGAGGGGAGCUGGGGUGUGGACGCAGUCAGUUAAGGAAAGCCCUGAAAGGUACCUUCCCCCUGGUCUGCAAUCAAACCUCUACCCUCUGGGGCCCUGGAACCUGCUGCAAGGCUGGACUCUUCUCUAACACCCGCUCCCUCCCCUAGCCCUCUAUCAAGGUGAGCACGCGCUUAGGGGAGUUGGUGCGACGCGGUGGACGAGGUGGGGAGGAAAAGGGGGCAAGACCCCGUUGCUGCUGGCCCUCACACGUCCGCAUUUGCGGGACCUAGGAGGCUUCGCCCCGGGGGUGCUCAGACGCUGGGUUCCAACCGCUGGCCACCUGGGGCGGGCCAAAAAGGUGCCUCCCUUAGGGUGACGUGCGGCCGCGGGGCAUUCAGGUCUCAGGGAUCUGCACUGGGUGGGGUGGUGAGAAGGCCGGACCCCCCACACCUCCUAAGCCGCAACUGACCGCGAAGAGCGGGCCUCAGCGUCUACUCCAUCCCAGUGCCCCUCCAAGAGCGCGCCGAGGCCGGGCAGGGCAGGCGCUGCACCCCAGCGGGGGCGGCGGGGCGGAGGCAAGUGCUGGAAGGGUCGCAGAGGGGCCGGGGCUGGGCUGGGGAGGCGAGGCUCGCUUACCCGCCAUGGGGCUGCUCCCGCAG